rnacentral:lncRNA from 1 species
AUCAAAAAAUACCACUGAUAGAGCAUAUCUUCUAACUGUACCAGGUAAUUAUCUUCCUUUGAUAUAACUCCAUCAAAAUACCACUGAUACAGCAUAUCUUCUAACUGUACCAGGUAAAAUAUCUUCCUUUGAUAUAAAAUCCAUCAAAAUAUACCACUGAUACAGCAUAUCUUCUAACUGUACCAGGUAAAUAUCUCCCUUUCAUAUAAAUCCAUCAAAAUAACCACUGAUAGAGCAUAUCUACUAACUGUACCAGGUAAAUAUCUUCCUUUGAUAUAAAUCCAUCAAAAUACCACUGAUACAGCAUAUCUUCUAACUGUACCAGGUAAAUAUCUUCCUUUCAUAUAAAUCUAUCAAAAUACCACUGAUACAGCAUAUCUUCUAACUGUACCAGGUAAAUAUCUUCCUUUCAUAUAAAUCUAUCAAAAUACCACUGAUAGAGCAUAUCUUCUAACUGUACCAGGUAAUUAUCUCCCUUUGAUAUAAAUCCAUCAAAAUACCACUGAUACAGCAUAUCUUCUAACUGUACCAGGUAAAUAUCUUCCUUUCAUAUAAAUCUAUCAAAAUACCACUGAUAGAGCAUCUCAAAACCUUGUGAUUACCUCCCUUUCAAUGAACAUCAAAACAUCACUUAUUCAAUAUUUUUGGUAAAAUUUUACAGUGCUUAUCCAGUGACCUUUGGGGUAUCACAAUAGCAAUGGCUAAAACAGUUUACCAAAUUGCAGUUUGAUUUUUUCUCCCACAAACUGAUCAACUGGUAAAGUAUUUUAGCAGAUUGCUCAAGUGAAAUGUUGUUAGUAUGAAGUGAGUGCUGUAAAAUCAAAAGUAAUAUUUACCAUCCAGAUUCUGUUAGUUGAUAUCUUUGUUAAUCUUUUCAAACACAAUAAUGACUUACUAUAGUAUGAGUCACUGAAUAAGAAGGCCUAAUAUUGACAAGGAAAACUUCUAUCAUAAAUAGAUUUUAUAAAUAAAUAGUUCAAACCAUUGUUUUGUAGAUGUAUAUUUUAUAGCUUUGUCUUCUAAGACAAAGUUAUUGUGUAAUUAUGAUUCGUAUAAUAUUUUCUAUACAAAUUACUGAUCUGCUGGCAUGAAAGGGAAAUAAUUUUUAUUGAGUUAUUGUACACUAUAAAAUUAAUCAAUGAUACCAGGCUUCUGAUUUUGCCUACAAAAAAAUCAUCAAUACGACUUGAAUAAAAAAAAAAUGAAUUGCCAAAUUAGGAGGAAGUUGAAGGGCAUUUAGGACACAAAUUACAAAGGUUUUGCCAAAUACUGCUUAUAAGUUAUCUUGUGCUCCGUGGUAGAGAAUCCUUAGUACUUUGAACAAUGCAAAGUUUGGCAAAACAGCUGUUAAUCUAUAAUUUUACCAUAUCAAUAAAAAUUCAUGUCAAAAUAAAAUUACUGACUACUGGACUGGUGAUACUUUCUUAAUUUACAGGGGAAUUUGUAUGAUUUAUAGAACUUUGAAUGUGUUCAAUAAUAGGUUUUAACAGGUUUUUUUCAAAAUUUUAAUCAUCUUGAAAAUAAAUUUCAUUGUUCUUUUCAAAACAGAGGAUAAAAGUUUAAUAAUCAUAAAAGUAAUGUUACAAACAAAUUAAAUGAGGAAAGUUGAUAUUUGUCAGACAAAAAUUGUGACAACAUUUUGCUGAUUUUCAGUAAUGUAAAUUAUUUCCCUUUAAUGGUAGCAGAUAAGUAAUUGCUUUAGAAAAAAAUCCAAAUUACAAUUAUGCACGAACUUAUUGUUGGAAAACGGAGCUAUAAAUUAUAGACUUUCAAAACAAUGUUUUGAACUAUUUAUUUAUAAAAUCUAUUUAUGAUAGAAGUUUCCUUGUCAAUAUUAGGCCUUCUUAUUCAGUGACUCAUACUAUAGUUAGUCAUUUUUUUGUUUGAAAAGAAUGACAAAGAUAUCAACUAACUGGAUCUUGAUGGUAAGUAUUACUUUUGAAUUUACAGCACGCACAUCAUACUAACAACAUUUCACUUGAGCAAUCUGCUAAAAUAGUUUACCAGUUGAUCUGUUAGUUGGAGAAGAAAUCUAACUGCAAUUUGGUAAACUGUUUGAGCCAUUGCUAUUGUGAUACCCCAAAGGUCACUGGAUAAGCACAGUAAUAGAAAUCUUUUUUUUAACCAACUUCUUGAUAGAUACUUAAUCAAUAACUUUUUCAAACAAUAAAUUGAUCAAUUACAAUAAAUUGAAUUAAAAGACUAAAUAUAUUAAUUUCAGGAUGUGCUGAAGAUUGUCCUUUAGAAGACUUCCAGAAAAUAACCAAACCGUAUAUACCUGUGGACUGGAAAAAAGAAUGUGGAGUCAAGUCUGAUGAUAAUACAGUCUCAUUUACAACUUGUAAGUUGAUUACUAGAGCUACUGCUUGUCAGCAGUGCCUACAGUAAUAAAACUGUCUGUCCAUCCGUCUUCAAUUCUACUCUUUCUAUAUAAAGUUGACACUGCCUUAACAGAUUUAGAUUCAAUUUCAUGCACAGUUUUUAUACCUUAUAUAAGUUUCUUGUAAAUUUGAAUAAACGUAUUCAGUGACUUAUUAUUAAAGGGCUAUAGUUCAAAUCAAUUCCAGGAAUGCAGAAUUAAUUCAUUACAAAGUGCUAUAAUUCCAUUGACUCUUGAUACAUAGAUUUGUUAUAACUCCAAAGACUGAAUACCAUCAAGUUUAAUUUUGGUGGUGUGACUUAAACCAAUCUAUAGUUAUUUCCCUUUACAAAUGGAAAAAUUGAUGCAUUUUUUAGUUUCUGUUCUCUAGUUUGCCUAAAUCAAAUGUAAUGAAACUUAUACACAAUGCUUAUUACCACAAAACUCAGAUCAAGUACAAAUUUGGGCAGUUCACUUUUAUUGUUCUAGAGUUAUUCCCCUUUAUAACUUUAUAUGAAUUCAAGCAGGUGCUGACUUUUAUUCUUGUACCAAUCAAUUCUAAUCUUAGUAUUUUGUAUUUUUCAGACCAGAUCACUAUAGCAGUACUAGCAGGUGUAAUCUUGAUCUUACUCAUUUUAACAUUAGUGUUUUGUAUUUUUCAGACCAGAUCACUACAGCCGUACUAGCAGGUGUAAUCUUGAUCUUACUCAUUUUAACAGAAGUGUUUUGUAUUUUUUCAGACCAGAUCACUACAGCAGUACUAGCAGGUGUAAUCUUGAUCUUACUCAUUUUAACAGAAGUGUUUUGUAUUUUUCAGACCAGAUCACUACAGCAGUACUAGCAGGUGUAAUCUUGAUCUUACUCAUUUUAACUGUAGUGUUUUGUAUUUGUCCGACCAGAUCACUAUAGCCGUUCUAGCAGGAGUAAUCUUGAUCUUACUCAUUUUAACAGAAGUGUUUUGUAUUUUUCAGACCAGAUCACUACAGCCGUACUAGCAGGUGUAAUCUUGAUCUUACUCAUUUUAACAGAAGUGUUUUGUAUUUUUCAGACCAGAUCACUACAGCAGUACUAGCAGGUGUAAUCUUGAUCUUACUCAUUUUAACUGUAGUGUUUUGUAUUUUCAGACCAGAUCACUACAGCAGUACUAGCAGGUGUAAUCUCUUGAUCUUACUCAUUUUAACAGAAGUGUUUUGUAUUUUUCAGACCAGAUCACUACAGCAGUACUACUUAGCAGGUGUAAUCUUGAUCUUACUCAUUUUAACAUGUAGUGUUUUGUAUUUUUCAGACCAGAUCACUACAGCAGUACUAGCAGGUGUAAUCUUGAUCUUACUCAUUUUAACAGAAGUGUUAUUAAUUUUUUCAGACCAGAUCACUACAGCCGUACUAGCAGGUGUAAUCUUGAUCUUACUCAUUUUAACUGUAGUGUUUUGUAUUUUUCAGACCAGAUCACUACAGCAGUACUAGCAGGUGUAAUCUUGAUCUUACUCAUUUUAACAGAAGUGUUUUGUAUUUUUCAGACCAGAUCACUACAGCCGUACUAGCAGGUGUAAUCUUGAUCUUACUCAUUUUAACAGAAGUGUUUUGUAUUUUUCAGACCAGAUCACUACAGCAGUACUAGCAGGUGUAAUCUUUGAUCUUACUCAUUUUAACUGAAGUGUUUUGUAUUUUUCAGACCAGAUCACUACAGCAGUACUAGCAGGUGUAAUCUUGAUCUUACUCAUUUUAACUGUAGUGUUUUGUAUUUUUCAGACCAGAUCACUACAGCCGUACUAGCAGGUGUAAUCUUGAUCUUACUCAUUUUAACUGUAGUGUUUUGUAUUUUUCAGACCAGAUCACUACAGCAGUACUAGCAGGUGUAAUCUUGAGUAGUUUUUGUAUUUUUCAGACCAGAUCACUACAGCAGUACUAGCAGGUGUAAUCUUGAUCUUACUCAUUAUACCCCACGCAACGAAGUUGCGGAGGGUAUAAUGUUUUUGACCCGUCCGUCCGUCAGUCCGUCCGUCCGUCCGUCAGUCCUGUUUCUUGUCAUCGCAACUCCUCUCAAACCACACAACAGAAUUUCACGAAACCUUUUCAGAUAAUAAGGACAUACUAUGUAGUUGUGCAUAUCGACGGGAAAUUGCGAUUCAAUUUUUUUUCUAGAGUUACGCCCCUUUGAACUUAUUUACUUUAAUGUACUACUGCAACAGUUUGUCAUCGCAACUCCUCUCAAACCACACAACAGAAUUUCACGAAACCUUUUCAGAUAAUAAGGACAUACUAUGUAGUUGUGCAUAUCGACGGGAAAUUGCGAUUCAAUUUUUUUUUUCUAGGAGUUACGCCCCUUUGAACUUAUUUACUUUAAUGUACUACUGCAACAGUUUGUCAUCGCAACUCCUCUCAAACCACACAACAGAAUUUCACGAAACCUUUUCAGAUAAUAAGGACAUACUAUGUAGUUGUGCAUAUCGACGGAAAAUUGCGAUUCAAUUUUUUUUCUAGGAGUUACGCCCCUUUGAACUUAUUUACUUUAAUGUACUACUGCAACAGUUUGUCAUCGCAACUCCUCUCAAACCACACAACAGAAUUUCACGAAACUUUUUUAUAAUAAGGACAUAUUAUGUAGUUGUGCAUAUCGACGAAAAAUUACGAUUCAAUUUUAUUUCUAGGAGUUACGCCCCUUUGAACUUAUUUGCUUCAAUGUACUACUGCAACAGUUUGUCAUCGCAACUCCUCUGAAACUACACAACAACAGAAUUUCAUGAAACCUUUUCAGAUAAUAAGGACAUACUAUGUAGUUGUGCAUAUCGACAGGAAAUUACGAUUCAAUUUUAUUUCUAGGAGUUACGCCACUUUGAACUUAUUUGCUUCAAUGUACUUCUGCAACAGUUUGUCAUCUCAACUCCUCUGAAAACACCAGACUAUGCGAAAUACGUCGGAGUCGGACAAAUUGAAUAAUGGAUCAAAAUUUUGUUGAAUUCCGGUCCGAAUGUCCGGUGUUUUUUUUUAUGGAACAUUCUAGCAAAAUUGCCAAACGAUCUCAAAUUCAUUUUCAUCUUUAUUAUUCACCACAGCGAUGUUUGUUUUGUUCAACCGCUAGCUUUAUGCCGAACAUCGACAACCAGUAAUGUGUAAAUCCGGGCAAAAACAUAUCUGACUGUCAAAAACAACAAUGGAUGCCAUCAUUGGCACAACCGGAAAUGUAAAUAAAACCGGAUCAGAUUCUGGGAACGGAUAAGGAUAAUUCCGGGUUUGCCGAUUUAAAUACAAUAAAUGAAUAAAAAUCCAAGCAGAUCACAAAAUUAAGCUAUGAAAUAUAACCACAAGAAUUGAAAACCAAAAGAUAUAUGAAAAAGAAAGAAGAAACAGGAAAUAAUAUUUUAUACAGAAACUCUAAAUUAUGUUUAGUUCACAAACAUUGUCAAAAUCCAAUAAAAUGGGACAUUACUCUUCACUGAAAUGCAUUCAAGCAAUUUGUGCCACAACUUUCAUAACAAUAUCCCCUCUUGUUACAUCAUUUUGUUUUAAUUUUUGCAUUUCGGGGAGGAGUAGGGCACAACAAAGUCAUACAUAUGUUUGUUGUUUUUUGUCGGAUAAUAUACAAUUAGAUGUAAAAAAAAAUUGGUCUGGUAAAAUUUCAUUCGGUCUGGUAAAGCUAGGAUGCUUACCAGACCGAAUGUCCUGUAAAAAUAAAAUUCAUUCGCAUAGUCUGAAACACACAACAGAAUUUCAUGAAAUUUUGUAGAUAAUAAGGACAUACUAUGUAGAUGUGUAUAUUGACAGGAAAUCAUUAUUCAAUAUUUUUUCUUAUAUAAUUUUUUUUUCUUAUACUUAUUUAAUUUCUCCAAUGACAAUGUGGGGACGUGGGGUAUGUGAGCGUGCUCACUAAGGUUCUUUAAUUUUAACAGAAGUGUUUUGUAUUUUUCAGACCAGAUCACUACAGCAGUACUAGCAGGUGUAAUCUUGAUCUUACUCAUUUUAACAGAAGUGUUUUAUAUUUUUCAGACCAGAUCACUACAGCCGUACUAGCAGGUGUAAUCUUGAUCUUACUCAUUUUAACUGUAGUGUUUUGUAUUUUUCAGACCAGAUCACUACAGCCGUACUAGCAGGUGUAAUCUUGAUCUUACUCAUUUUAACAGAAGUGUUUUGUAUUUUUCAGACCAGAUCACUACAGCAGUACUAGCAGGUGUAAUCUUGAUCUUACUCAUUUUAACAGAAGUGUUUUGUAUUUUUCAGACCAGAUCACUACAGCCGUACUAGCAGGUGUAAUCUUGAUCUUACUCAUUUUAACAGAAGUGUUUUGUAUUUUUCAGACCAGAUCACUACAGCCGUACUAGCAGGUGUAAUCUUGAUCUUACUCAUUUUUAACUGUAGUGUUUUGUAUUUGUCCGACCAGGUCACUAUAGCCGUUCUAGCAGGAGUAAUCUUGAUCUUACUCAUUUUAACAGAAGUGUUUUGUAUUUUUCAGACCAGAUCACUACAGCCGUACUAGCAGGUGUAAUCUUGAUCUUACUCAUUUUAACAGAAGUGUUUUGUAUUUUUCAGACCAGAUCACUACAGCAGUACUAGCAGGUGUAAUCUUGAUCCUACUCCUUUUAACAGAAGUGUUUGGUAUUUUUCAGACCAGAUCACUACAGCCGUACUAGCAGGUGUAAUCUUGAUCUUACUCAUUUUAACUGUAGUGUUUUGUAUUUGUCCGACCAGGUCACUAUAGCCGUUCUAGCAGGAGUAAUCUUGAUCUUACUCAUUUUAACAGAAGUGUUUUGUAUUUUUCAGACCAGAUCACUACAGCCGUACUAGCAGGUGUAAUCUUGAUCUUACUCAUUUUAACAGAAGUGUUUUGUAUUUUUCAGACCAGAUCACUACAGCAGUACUAGCAGGUGUAAUCUUGAUCUUACUCAUUUUAACAGAAGUGUUUUGUAUUUUCAGACCAGAUCACUACAGCCGUACUAGCAGGUGUAGUCUUGAUCUUACUCAUUUUAACAUUAGUGUUUUGUAUUUUUCAGACCAGAUCACUACAGCCGUACUAGCAGGUGUAAUCUUGAUCUUACUUGUUAUCCUGGUUGUGGUGUUUAUUCGGAUGAGGAAGAUACAAGUGUCAUACAGAAACUUUAGAUGACCAACUGCAGAAUAUGAAUAUGUACAGCUACAAUAUUAUGAUGAUUAUUCUGACUGAUUACACUAUUACUGUACACCAGAUAUUUCUAUUAAUUGACACCCAAUAGUUGCUCAAUUCAACAAUAGUAUUACAUAACUGUCAACAUGGUAUACAGUUGAUUAAUAUGUCAUAUUAUUUUUCUAUGCUUAACACACAGUUACAACACUAUCUGGUGUACAGGGAUACACUUUGAAUGUCACAAAUAUACAAUUACAUUAUUACAAUAUUACAAUGAUUUUUGAAGCCAGAAUAUUUAUCAUUUAUCACAUACAUAUAUUCAACAAGCCUUUCUUUCUCAGGAAUUAUUUAUUACACCCCCACUCUCAAAAUGAGGACUAUAUUGCAUUCAUUUUGUUCGUCCAUCCACGUUCAUCAAGCAUGCCAACAGUAAUAAGUUGUAAUGAAUUGUAAAUGUGUGCGCUCUUUUCUGAUCUGUGCAAUCUUAAAAAAUAAUCAAUAAUGCUGAUAUAAUUGUAAUUUUCCUCAAGCUGAAGUAUUGAAUUGAAUGAUGUGAUUUCAAACUUCACAUAGUUUUUGAGAAUCGUAGUUGGAGGUCUUUGUAUUCAUUUAACAAUCAGCAUUAACAUUCACUGUUAUUUAACCUUAAUCCUAGAAAAAAAUUCUUAAUCAAUAGCACAUUUAUUACGAUAUUUUGCAAUGCUUUUUAAACUAUUUAUUAUAGGGACAAGCUUUAACUACAUGUCUUUCAAAAGUAAAACACUUUUUUUUUGCUUUCUUGCUUGAAAAUAAGAACUAACAGAAAACACUAAACUUUACUAAGCCUCCAUAUAUGAUUUAUAAAAAGGAAUGUUUUUGUAUAUAUGUAAAAAUUUAAUUUAUAUUAUUAUAAGUUCGUAUUUUCUUCAGAAUUGCUCAAAAUUUGUCUCAUGUUUUUUGUAGAUAUGCAGAUAUAUUUUUAACAUUUGUACAUAUAAAUAUAUAUAUAUAUGAUCAAAAUUGUGUGUCAUUCCAAAGAGCAAAACUUUUAGCCUUGUAUGUAUGUGGUAAUGUAUUUUAUUGUAAAUUCACAAUUUAUGUACAUGUAUUAAUCAAAUACAAAAAAUAAAAACUUUACAGC